rnacentral:rRNA from 1 species
GCGAGCGGCGGAUGGGUGAGUAACACGUGGGGAACCUGCCCCUAAGUCUGGGAUACCAUUUGGAAACAGGUGCUAAUACCGGAUAAUAAAGCAGAUCGCAUGAUCAGCUUUUGAAAGGCGGCGUAAGCUGUCGCUAAGGGAUGGCCCCGCGGUGCAUUAGCUAGUUGGUAAGGUAACGGCUUACCAAGGCGACGAUGCAUAGCCGAGUUGAGAGACUGAUCGGCCACAUUGGGACUGAGACACGGCCCAAACUCCUACGGGAGGCAGCAGUAGGGAAUCUUCCACAAUGGACGCAAGUCUGAUGGAGCAACGCCGCGUGAGUGAAGAAGGUUUUCGGAUCGUAAAGCUCUGUUGUUGGUGAAGAAGGAUAGAGGUAGUAACUGGCCUUUAUUUGACGGUAAUCAACCAGAAAGUCACGGCUAACUACGUGCCAGCAGCCGCGGUAAUACGUAGGUGGCAAGCGUUGUCCGGAUUUAUUGGGCGUAAAGCGAGCGCAGGCGGAAAAAUAAGUCUAAUGUGAAAGCCCUCGGCUUAACCGAGGAACUGCAUCGGAAACUGUUUUUCUUGAGUGCAGAAGAGGAGAGUGGAACUCCAUGUGUAGCGGUGGAAUGCGUAGAUAUAUGGAAGAACACCAGUGGCGAAGGCGGCUCUCUGGUCUGCAACUGACGCUGAGGCUCGAAGCAUGGGUAGCGAACAGGAUUAGAUACCCUGGUAGUCCAUGCCCGUAAACGAUGAGUGCUAA